CAAGUCGAACGGCAGCACGAGAGCUUGCUCUUGGUGGCGAGUGGCGAACGGGUGAGUAAUAUAUCGGAACGUAUCCAAUAAUGGGGGAUAACUAAUCGAAAGGUCAGCUAAUACCGCAUACGCCCUACGGGGGAAAGCAGGGGAUCUUCGGACCUUGCGUUAAUGGAGCGGCUGAUAUCUGAUUAGCUAGUAGGUGAGGUAAAGGCUCACCUAGGCUUCGAUCAGUAGCUGGUCUGAGAGGACGACCAGCCACACUGGAACUGAGACACGGUCCAGACUCCUACGGGAGGCAGCAGUGGGGAAUUUUGGACAAUGGGCGCAAGCCUGAUCCAGCCAUUCCGCGUGAGUGAAGAAGGCCUUCGGGUUGUAAAGCUCUUUCGCAAGGGAAGAAACGAUACCGACGAAUAAUCGGUGUUAAUGACGGUACCUUGAUAAGAAGCACCGGCUAACUACGUGCCAGCAGCCGCGGUAAUACGUAGGGUGCGAGCGUUAAUCGGAAUUACUGGGCGUAAAGCGUGCGCAGGCGGUUUUGUAAGUCAGAUGUGAAAUCCCCGGGCUCAACCUGGGAACUGCGUUUGAAACUACAAGGCUAGAGUAUGGUAGAGGGGGGUAGAAUUCCACGUGUAGCAGUGAAAUGCGUAGAGAUGUGGAGGAAUACCAAUGGCGAAGGCAGCCCCCUGGACUAAUACCGACGCUCAUGCACGAAAGCGUGGGGAGCAAACAGGAUUAGAUACCCUGGUAGUCCACGCCCUAAACGAUGUCUACUAGUUGUUGGGAGAGUAAAAUCUCUUAGUAACGCAGCUAACGCGUGAAGUAGACCGCCUGGGGAGUACGGUCGCAAGAUUAAAACUCAAAGGAAUUGACGG
rnacentral:rRNA from 1 species